AGUGAACGCUGGCGGUAGGCCUAACACAUGCAAGUCGAACGGUAGCACAGGAGAGCUUGCUCUCUGGGUGGCGGGUGGCGGACGGGUGAGGAAUACAUCGGAAUCUACUCUGUCGUGGGGGAUAACGUAGGGAAACUUACGCUAAUACCGCAUACGACCUACGGGUGAAAGCAGGGGACCUUCGGGCCUUGCGCGAUUGAAUGAGCCGAUGUCGGAUUAGCUAGUUGGCGGGGUAAAGGCCCACCAAGGCGACGAUCCGUAGCUGGUCUGAGAGGAUGAUCAGCCACACUGGAACUGAGACACGGUCCAGACUCCUACGGGAGGCAGCAGUGGGGAAUAUUGGACAAUGGGCGCAAGCCUGAUUCAGCCAUACCGCGUGGGUGAAGAAGGCCUUCGGGUUGUAAAGCCCUUUUGUUGGGAAAGAAAUCCAUCUGGUUAAUACCCGGGUGGGAUGACGGUACCCAAAGAAUAAGCACCGGCUAACUUCGUGCCAGCCGCCGCAGUAA
rnacentral:rRNA from 1 species